ensembl:lncRNA
AAACGGGGCGGCAACACAGCUGACAAGUAGCGAAUCUCUCCGUCUCUCACUGAUGUUUUUACUGCUUUCAGAAAUGGUUCAGUGUCAUGGGAAUAAGUCCGUUAGCAUCACAACCGUGAGCUAACAGAGGCUAACUAUAAGAGCAGAGUUGGAGUGGACCUCUUGUUGAAGAACUUCUCCAGGCACUAUGAACCAUCUGACUAAUGCUGUCAUGAAACGCCAUGAAAAGGCAACUGCUGGACACCUGGGACAGGCCAUCAAUUCCAAGUUGGCGUCAAUUCCCUGUUAGAGUUUAGAGUUGUCUAAUAGAGAGGGUGAAGGAAGAACAUCCAAACCCUGCCCCUGCUUCCUUCAAGAUUUUUUAUGGAUUUAUAUAAUGGUGUUUUUUCAUAAAGUAAAGGCAGUGGCAAAAUUAACAUGACACUACUUUGAUGUUUUGUUCUACAAAUUAAACCACACACACACUCCAAAAACACCAAUUUUGAUACAAUUUGCAUUUGCAAGAAAAAAAAUCAAAGUAGUGUCAUGUUAAUUUUGCCACUGCCUUU